CAUUCCCCACGCCCGGCUGGCCCACCGCUCAGCCCUGACACCCAACACCUAGCAAGAACCCUGCCUUUCGGCAUGCCCAGGUUGUUUUUCUUCCCCUCUCCACAGCCACUUGACUUCUUGGAAAGGAGCAAAACAGUUGUGAAAGCUGAGAAGAAUCUAUCUACACCUUCCCUUGUUACAGUGCUGGGCAACAGGGAGCUCCUUAGCAUGCAGAGGGAAAGAGUAGCUAUCUUGGAUUCAGAGUUGUAUGGAGAUGGCCCAGCAAAUGAACAAACCACACAGCGUAUAAAUACCAUGUAUAUUAAGUCAGAUUCAAAGAAGGACUGAAGAAAUUUGGCUGGAUUCACAGAUAGACAAAUUUCCCAGCAACAGAUUCAUUGUUUGUGACAUCUCUAAAUCUCUCAGGUGAUGUGAACUUCAAAGCAUCAAUGACACCAUGAUGAUUUCAGUAUGCUGUAAGACCUGGAGCUGUUGAAGGAAUUAAUGUUUUUUCAAAUCUUUAAGUAUUUCUUUUCUUUAAAGGAAAGAACAAUUCUGGAAAAUAUUUUGCAGAUUUUUCAUUUAAAAUAACUUCUUUUAACAGCUAAUUGCUCCACCUUUGUCUAGGACUACCAAGGCUCUUCUAUUCCUUGAGAAAGAAAAAUUCUUCAGAUCACACUUAUGGUGUAUUUAUCCAUAUAUAAUAAUAAAAUUCAUGUUUUCUAUUGGUUAGAAACCAUUGCUUUCAGGAAAUAUUCCUGCUGACUAGCUCAUUCAGGGGAAUAGUUAAAGAAAACAUUUCUUAAAUAUGAUUAAUAAAUCAACAUAGAAACAUUUUUUCUUGGCUCUAUUUACUACUGGAAAUGGUAAAAAAUCAAGGAAAAGGUUUUACAUAGAGAAGCUUUCCAUUUUCUCCCAAGCGAUCCAAAACAAACUGCUCCAUUUUGUUUAGUCAUGCAAUACCUACUGCUCCAGCAACAGUGACCCAACCUGAUUCAACAGAUCACCAGCUGGGCCUCUGCGGGGGACCUUUUGAACUCAGUUUUAUGGUAGCGCUCUGCCCCAAGCACUACUCUGAACUACGACAGGGCCUCUCUCCCUGGGCUUCUUCAAGAAUACUUCUGAAAGCUCUCGUUUACUUCUGCACCAGAACAAAAGACAAAUUAGAACCCUUGGAAAUGUUCACAAAAUUAAAUUAUUUUCCAGCCUGUCCCACCCAGCAUGGUGCAAGAGAAGCCUGUGCCCUUGCAGGACAUUAAUAUCUUCUCAUUUUAUUCUCAUUCCAAGCCAGUCAAUCUCAUAAUGCUUUUGAUGUAAGUUCUAGUGGACUGCAUGUCAAGUAGAGGACAUUAUCCCAGUAGCUGUACAGUGAUUAUCUGGGCUACCGCAGUUAUUUCUGAAUGAAAGUACUGGUAAAAUGCCAAAUGUUUUCAGAGAUCACUGUUGUGCUUGCUAAAUUACUGGGUUUUCUGGUGAGUCCUAGGGCUGUAUACAUAUAUUAGCAAAACAAAACAACAUUUAGUAACAAGUAGAAGUUCACUAGGUCACACACUGUCAAAUCCAACCCUGAAAAGAACACAGAUCCUGUUUUUUAACUCUUCAGUGUGACUAACACUCUCCACAUCUCCCUUGAUACAGCACGUUUCUUAAACGUCCCAUUUUCGGGUAUUAAAAGGAACAUAGACCACAGCUUUUUAGACCUCACCCCAAACUUUUAAUGAUGGUGUCAUACAUGCUUUACGUUAACAGACCUGUACAUAUCUACAUUUCCUUUGUUCUGAGCAUUUGGAAGUUAAUAAACUUUAAAUUCGUUACAGAAUAUUGAAUAGACUGAGGAUUUUGAAUGAGAAUGAGAUUCUGAUAAAAAAAGAAAAAUGUUUACUUUUCAAAUGUCUGUACCAUAUCUGGCAUACCUAAUAUUAUUUAGCUCAUACUCACUCAUACACUCUUUGUUUCA